AACACUGCUGAUCUGAAGCGACUUUUCCACAACAGCCUAUUAAAAUCGCCGUCAAACUCCAAUCUUAAGGACACCUCUCAAAAUGAACCGCUUCAAAUGGGAGACUUUAUGGUUGAUCCUAAGCAUAUUGAUUUUGUUGUGUUGCAAAGGCAAAUUGUGCCUCAAGUUGCCAUGGCGGAGGAGGACAUGUGGCUCCCACAAUGGGCCAUUGCUGUCACGGUGGUUGGUCUUGGAUCCCUCCUAUUGUCGUUAUUUUCGGAGUCUGCGUGCUGAUAAGUAGGAGCAAGAACACCAAAAAACAGCCAACACCAAUGACGGAAGACAUGCUCCACGAGCUUAACAAAAACACAUGAACGGCGUGAUAAUUAUGGUGCUUCGGAGGACAUCUAUAACAUGGAGGACGUUUGGAAUGAUACGAGCAUUAAAAAGCGUUCCUCGUACGAGGACGAGCAGUCGAACCUUAUACGACAGCUGGCGAUCUGAUGGCAUGGCUAAGACAAUAUUACGACGGCAGCAGUCACAGCGGUUAAACGCACCGACCUCCGCGGGCCGACUACCUUUCCAGGCACCCGGACUAGAUAACGACUUUUGAUUUCACCCUUUCGAGUCGACUCUUUAAGGACUGUUGCAUUGCCAUUUAUUUCCCUCGACCUUAAAUAAAUAUUCGUACCGAAUGCUCGCUUCAAUCUUACGUAACAAAGCUGAACCACCUGCGAAAUCCCUCUCCCCCCCCCCCCCAUCGGAUAAAUAAAUUUGAAAACAAAAAUUUAAAACAGAGUGUGCGAGCAUCACCUAUCCCCUUUAUUGUUUCUCAAUGCUGAGAAUUGAACUCGGCUCUCAGUUUUUGCCGCUUUUCGUCGAAAAUUUCCAAAUUCUCUUUGUUUUUUUCUAGUGAAGAAGGACCAGGCGUUUUUUCGUUCUCCAGAAUUUGCGCGAUUCUAUUUGAGAAUAAUUUUAAAAAAAAAGAAGGAAAAAAAAGAAAAAAAGAAAAAAAAAUUAUUUUGCAAAAAUUGAUUGAUUUUCUACAAGUAAAUAGAGAGCAGGUGGUUUGGAACUUCGCGUUGGGCUACACGGUCUAGUAGGUUCUAUUACCAUUGAUUUGUUAGGUUGGAAUUCAUUCAUUAUUUUUACUUAUUUAUAUUUAUUAGCUAUUGGUCCUUUCUUUUGAGUAAAAAAAAAACGCCCGCCUCUCAGUUAUUGGGUUCCAAAAUUGGCUCUGAAAUAUUUUCUGUAGAUUUUUCAAAUUUUAACUUAUUUCUCCAAAAUAUAUUAUUUCUUAAUGAUGUUCACAUUCGAUCGUCACGCACGGCCCCCGCUUUAGCUCUCAAAUUAGUAAGUUGAUUUUUGUUACAAUAUUUUAUGAGGUUCAAGAAAAGAAGCUCGCAAGGACGAAAGAAAAUUAAUUUAAAUUGAUUGUUUCUUACUACAUUAGUGAUACACUUAAACCUGCAAGUGCCUAGCUCUUUUUAUUAAACUUUCUCACGCAAAUUGGGUCAGUGUUUUCAGAGACAAAGGAGUAUCAAUUACCACAUUGUGAGCAUAUACGUUCUCAAACCUCCUUAAUUUCUGUUCUUUCUUUCUUUUCUUUUUUUAUUGACUUGCGAAAGCUUCAAAAUGGUCAUAAUAUGUAAUAAUGUUUUGUGCCCUUUAUUGGUAAUGAGUAUUUGAAUGUAUUGUUCUAUAUACGUCUACUUCAAUAUGCUUUUUAAAGAUGAUAUGAAGCUGUGAUAUUAUUACGUAUUGCCUGUUAUAUUUUUCUUUGAUUUUUUUGAAGCUCAAAGACAAAAAAAUUACAAUAUUAGAAUAUGUCACGGAUGAGAUGAAAGAAAUGCAAAAAUUGCGUUUUAAAAAAAAAGGUUCAUGUGAAAUAAAUCGAGACUCUCCACUAGGAGGCUGGAACCCGCAAAGAAAAGGCUUCAUUCAGGGAGUAUCGCCGUACGUAUAACGUAUACGAGCGAGCUUGUUCACUGGAAUUCCUCCUAUCCUCCUGGAUCUCACUGUGGAGGAAACCCCGCUUUUCAUAAUAACUAUAUUAAUAUUCACAAUAUUAUAAUGAUACCAAUAUCUUUCAGGCUAAGGACGACUGUUUCGUGAAUGAUAACGUUUAUUCAUCAUGACGCCAUAUUGUAGGCUGUCAUAUUUGUUAAUAUUGAUUUAAUGUAAAUGGACACUUUAUAAUCGAAGAAUGUGACUAUUAAACAAUGUAGGGUUAGUUUAUUUUUUAAUUGCUCCAGUCCGAGUAAAAGUAAAUUGAGAUAGAUACCUGGUAACGACCAAGUUGAUGAUAUCUGCUCGCAGUUGCUGUGAAUAGCAUUUCUUGCUUGCGCAAAGAUAACUGAAGCUGUGAAAUUAUCGACUGCUGCAAAUAAAAAAUCAUAAAUAUCCUGGAUAAUACUUGAAAAAACAGUACUUCAAUAAUUAAUGAAUAAAGAAGGUGUUACAGUACUGUUAAUACUGCCAUUAUAGUUUUAAAAUUUGUAAUGACAAGGACAUAAUGACAUCAUUGACGGCGAAUUUCUGUCAAACUGAAUCUCUCUUGGAACUACCCCUUAAAGACUGAGAGAAAAAAUUCGAAGAUUUUGCUCAAAAAAGGAAUUUUUGCAUAUAUAAGUUAAAUUCCGUCGAGGAGUCCAUGGUGAACUAUGCAAACUUAUAAUCCGCCAAAUUAAGGGCCCAGAAUCACUAAUCGAUGAAAUAUAGUAAAAAAGCUUAUUUAUUUCUAUACACUGUUUACUCUUCGUCACAGUAUUUCGUCCCAUUUUUAAAAUCUUCAUUUCAGCAAAAUUCUUUCGGAUACUACAGCAAAUGGUUAAUAGCUUAUCUGAGUUUAUACCUUUGUGCAUAUCCAAAUCAUUUUUUCUUUCAAUGAGAUUUCAACAUUUUUACGGAAAAUUUAAAGAAAAUAUACCAGUUGUUUAUUUAGAGAAUAUAAUGAGAUCUAACGAAAACUUAUAUUGUUUGCAGUUGAGAUGAGCAGAGCUUCUAGAUGCGCCAUUAAUAAUGUUUCGGCACAGACUUGUCCCAGGAAAUAUAGUGCCUAAAAUUUGUAAGAAAAAUAAUGUUUGAUAAACAUUUGUACAGUAAUAUCGUAUUCUUUGUCUGCUCAAUUGUACAGUAACUUGCUGUAAGUGUUGUAAUUUUACUUUUUAUUUUUUAUCUUUCAGAAUUUGUUUAGAGAGCGCUUGUGUAAAAAAUAUAUGACCUACAAUUAGGAAUGUGUCUAGUGUAAAUACUUCGUAGAUUAUUUUAAGAGAAUGUAGAGAAAAAAACUUACCUAGAUAGAACUGUUGUGUAAAUUAACGUUUCAACAAACGGUUGAAGGUAGCCAGAUGGGAAGGAGGUACGAUAGAUUCUCUCAAGAAAGAGAUGCUUUCGUCGUUUGAGUGGAAAGAAAAAUAAUUUACUUUUCCUCCAUGGAAGGCGAAAGUCGUGUCUAAUUGCGUAGUAGUUUUGUCAUCAUCUUUUAAAUACUUUCUGCGUAAGCGAUACUAAAAUUUUUAAUGACGCACUAUUAUUCUUCCCUUAAUCUAAUAUCGACGGUUAAAUUACCAGACCAUCUAUCUCGGUUUGCGACGUCGCAGACUUCCUGUCUUAUUUUUACUUUUUAGAUGAAAGCUUCACAAACGUCAAUUCCUUGAAACUUGUGAAACUUUUGAGGAAUGAUUUUGGUUUGUUCUCCUUCACAAAAUAAAAUGAGAGCGGAAAUUUUUGAACACAGCAACGAGAUACGUAGUCUGAUAGUUUCACCGUCGACACGUCUGUUGCACAGUCUGUAAUUUGAUUUAAAAAUAGCUGCGAGUCGAUUGUUGAAUCGUUAUCGAAUGAAAUCGAUCGAUAACUCCCUAUCUUAACAAUGCUAUAUAUCGAUCAAGGCCAUUCGAUAGCGAUUCAACAAUCGACCCGCUGUGUUAAUUUUAGGUAUCUAACGGUGCGUUUUGCCCCCGUCAAGAAUCGAAUACUUAACAUAGUUUAAGGAGUCUUGGACGGUCUUGGAGUAAAGAAGAAGAAUUCUCGUGAAACAAAUGAACGAGUUUCUCCUGAAUUGCGCACUUUUGUGCUCAAUUGCACUUGGCGGAUACCUACGGUUCUCCUGAAAGACUCACGCCCCUCAAAAAUAUCCUCCUCUCAGUAUGUAAAAAAAAAUUAAACAUCAAAAGAAAGUAAUAUUUUAGAAAAACUGGAACAUAAUUAAACGCACCACGACGGAUUUACAUCAAUUAAGUCGCGUUUUAUACUCUAUAAAAUUUGUCAACUGGCAUAUUCAAUCGUUUGAAAUACUCAUUCCGUGUUCACUCUAGUCAAAUUUUACGUCGAUCUUUUGACGCAGGUCAAUCACAUUUGAUCGCAUCCCUGUAAGUUUAAGAUUUUUGUGAACACAGAGAAGCAUGUAAUUCUGUAUAAUUUUAUUUGUACGGAUGAUCGUCCACUUAAUGGUUAUAUUGUUGUUAAAUAUCCUUUUUAUUUGUUUCUAAUUUUAGACUUUGUAAUUUGUAUAGACCUUAGGUAUUGCUAUCGAAAUAAAUCUGUCUGAAAAUUUUACGGUAUUGCAAUCAGUCUUAAUUCGAUUACAUCUCACGAAUCUCUCGAAUAAGAGACCGAUUUUAAGUUCACUGAGUUUUUUUCAAUACGGUUUUUGAGAAUAUCUUCAGCAUGCCUCCCCAAAAAUUGGUAUCCAAACAUUUGUAAUUAUGAUUUUUCAAUUCCCAACAAAAUUCAUUACAAAUUAAGUCAGUCAUAAUAGGCUAAACUGGGAGGAAAACUUGAAAACUUAUCAAUUUUAAAGAAAAGAUGAAACUACACGAAUAUAUCUACAUCCCUAUGGAAAGAAAGAUUUUGUUGCGCUCCACAUCUCAACAAACUGAGGUUGCCGAAAGAUUACCUACCUCUCAAAAUUUGUCCGCAACUUAUUUGACGUCCUUGAUUAUUUAAAUAAUAUGAGGAGAAAUUAAUUUGCAGUAUGAAUUUGCCACUGACAAGAGGCAAUGGCCUUUGAUUUUUAAACUUUAAAAAAAUCUAAUCUAAUUUUCAGACAUAUUUCAUUUUGAUCUUUCUCAGCAGAAAUAAAAAAAGUAAUGUUUAUAAUUAUUUUUCACUGUUUAUUUGUUCUUGGAAUAAAUAUUAAUUUUCAAGUAUAAGUUGUACUCGUAUUCAUCUUUUCAAUUUGGUAAUAUAUGCAUUACUCUUUGCAGUGCCCUAUCGGCUC
rnacentral:lncRNA from 1 species